rnacentral:rRNA from 1 species
UACGUAGGUGGCAAGCGUUGUCCGGAUUUACUGGGCGUGAAGAGCGCGCAGGCGGUCGUUCAAGUCGCGUGUGAAAGCCCCCGGCUCAACUGGGGAGGGUCACGCGAUACUGAUCGACUCGAAGGCAGGAGAGGGUAGUGGAAUUCCCGGUGUAGUGGUGAAAUGCGUAGAUAUCGGGAGGAACACCAGUGGCGAAGGCGACUACCUGGCCUGUUCUUGACGCUGAGGCGCGAAAGCUAGGGGAGCAAACGGG